UCGCAGUGGGGUUUAGUCCCUAAAGAGA
rnacentral:sRNA from 1 species